rnacentral:rRNA from 1 species
AAGAUUAAACUGAAGAGUUUGAUCAUGGCUCAGAUUGAACGCUGGCGGCAGGCCUAACACAUGCAAGUCGAGCGAGAAAGGCCUUCGGGCUGAGUAGAGCGGCGGACGGGUGAGUAACGCGUAGGAAUCUACCCGGUAGUGGGGGACAACAUGGGGAAACCCAUGCUAAUACCGCAUACGCCCUUUGGGGGAAAGCGGGGGACCUUC